rfam:Rattus norvegicus chromosome 18, whole genome shotgun sequence.
GGGGAUUUAGCUCAGUGGUAGAGCGCUUGCCUAGCAAGCGCAAGGCCCUGGGUUCGGUCCCCAGUUCCG